GACGAGCCACACGAACGUUAUUCGGAAUUACUGGGCUUAAAGGGUGCGUAGGCGGUGCGGAAAGUUGGGUGUGAAAUCCCUCGGCUCAACCGAGGAACUGCGCCCAAAACUACCGUACUUGAGGAAGAUAGAGGUGAGCGGAACUUACGGUGGAGCGGUGAAAUGCGUUGAUAUCGUAAGGAACACCCGUGGCGAAAGCGGCUCACUGGCCCGAUACUGACGCUGAGGCACGAAAGCGUGGGGAGCAAACAGG
rnacentral:rRNA from 1 species